UACGUAGGGGGCGAGCGUUGUCCGGAUUUAUUGGGCGUAAAGAGCUCGUAGGCGGUUUGGUAAGUUGGAUGUGAAAUCUCCAGGCUCAACUUGGAGGGGUCAUUCGAUACUGCCAUGACUAGAGUUCGGUAGGGGAGUGUGGAAUUCCUGGUGGAGCGGUGAAAUGCGCAGAUAUCAGGAGGAACACCAGCGGCGAAGGCGGCGCUCUGGGCCGGAACUGACGCUGAGGAGCGAAAGCGUGGGGAGCGAACAGG
rnacentral:rRNA from 1 species